UACGAAGGGGGCUAGCGUUGCUCGGAAUCACUGGGCGUAAAGGGUGCGUAGGUGGGUCUGUAAGUCAGUGGUGAAAUCCCCCGAGCUUAACUUGGGAACUGCCGUUGAUACUAUAGAUCUUGAAUAUCGUGGAGGUAAGCGGAAUAUGUCAUGUAGCGGUGAAAUGCUUAGAUAUGACAUAGAACACCAAUUGCGAAGGCAGCUUACUACACGAUCAUUGACACUGAGGCACGAAAGCGUGGGGGAGCAAACAGG
rnacentral:rRNA from 1 species